rnacentral:rRNA from 1 species
UACGAAGGGGGCUAGCGUUGUUCGGAUUUACUGGGCGUAAAGCGCACGUAGGCGGAUCGUUAAGUCGGGGGUGAAAUCCUGGAGCUCAACUCCAGAACUGCCUUCGAUACUGGCGAUCUUGAGUCCGGAAGAGGUGAGUGGAACUCCUAGUGUAGAGGUGGAAUUCGUAGAUAUUAGGAAGAACACCAGUGGCGAAGGCGGCUUACUGGUCCGGAACUGA